rnacentral:rRNA from 1 species
UGCUUAACACAUGCAAGUCGAACGAGAAUCACUGGAAGGAGUUUUCGGACAACGGAAGGUGAGGACAGUGGCGGACGGGUGAGUAACGCGUGAGGAACCUGCCUUUCAGAGGGGGACAACAGUUGGAAACGACUGCUAAUACCGCAUGACACAUAGAGAUCGCAUGGUUUUUAUGUCAAAGAUUUAUCGCUGAAAGAUGGCCUCGCGUCUGAUUAGCUAGUUGGUGAGGUAACGGCCCACCAAGGCGACGAUCAGUAGCCGGACUGAGAGGUUGACCGGCCACAUUGGGACUGAGAUACGGCCCAGACUCCUACGGGAGGCAGCAGUGGGGAAUAUUGGGCAAUGGGCGCAAGCCUGACCCAGCAACGCCGCGUGAAGGAAGAAGGCUUUCGGGUUGUAAACUUCUUUUGUCGGGGACGAGUAGAAGACGGUACCUGGCGAAUAAGCCACGGCUAACUACGUGCCAGCAGCCGCGGUAAUACGUAGGUGGCAAGCGUUGUCCGGAUUUACUGGGUGUAAAGGGCGUGUAGCCGGGAAGGCAAGUCAGAUGUGAAAUCCACGGGCUUAACUCGUGAACUGCAUUUGAAACUACUUUUCUUGAGUAUCGGAGAGGCAAUCGGAAUUCCUAGUG